GACGAACGCUGACGGCGUGCUUAACACAUGCAAGUCGAACGGUGAACCUCUUCGGAGGGGAUCAGUGGCGAACGGGUGAGUAACACGUGGGCAACCUGCCCCCGGCUCUGGGAUAACUCCAAGAAAUUGGGGCUAAUACCGGAUGUUCACCGCUUCCCGCAUGGGUGGUGGUGGAAAGGGUUUCCGGCUGGGGAUGGGCCCGCGGCCUAUCAGCUUGUUGGUGGGGUAGUGGCCUACCAAGGCGACGACGGGUAGCCGGCCUGAGAGGGUGACCGGCCACACUGGGACUGAGACACGGCCCAGACUCCUACGGGAGGCAGCAGUGGGGAAUAUUGCGCAAUGGGCGGAAGCCUGACGCAGCGACGCCGCGUGGGGGAUGACGGCCUUCGGGUUGUAAACCUCUUUCAGCAGGGACGAAGCGCAAGUGACGGUACCUGCAGAAGAAGCACCGGCCAACUACGUG
rnacentral:rRNA from 1 species